rnacentral:rRNA from 1 species
UUUUAUGGAGAGUUUGAUCCUGGCUCAGGAUGAACGCUGGCGGCGUGCCUAAUACAUGCAAGUCGAGCGAACAGAUGAGGAGCUUGCUCCUUUGACGUUAGCGGCGGACGGGUGAGUAACACGUAGGUAACCUACCUAUAAGACUGGGAUAACUUCGGGAAACCGGAGCUAAUACCGGAUAAUAUUUCGAACCGCAUGGUUCGAUAGUGAAAGAUGGCUUUGCUAUCACUUAUAGAUGGACCUGCGCCGUAUUAGCUAGUUGGUAAGGUAACGGCUUACCAAGGCAACGAUACGUAGCCGACCUGAGAGGGUGAUCGGCCACACUGGAACUGAGACACGGUCCAGACUCCUACGGGAGGCAGCAGUAGGGAAUCUUCCGCAAUGGGCGAAAGCCUGACGGAGCAACGC